UACAGAGGGUGCGAGCGUUGUCCGGAAUCACUGGGCGUAAAGGGCUCGUAGGCGGCCAACUAAGUCAGACGUGAAAUCCCUCAGCUUAACUGGGGAACUGCGUCUGAUACUGGAUGGCUUGGAUUCGGGAGAGGAAUGCGGAAUUCCAGGUGUAGUGGUGAAAUGCGUAGAUAUCGGGAGGAACACCAGUGGCGAAGGCGGCUUUCUGGCCUGUUCUUGACGCUGAGGCGCGAAAGCUAGGGGAGCAAACGGG
rnacentral:rRNA from 1 species